rnacentral:antisense_RNA from 1 species
UUUAUGAUCAGAUCAAGGGUAUAAGGUAUCAGUGGGGGCAGCCAGCAGUCAUAGGCCAGAGAGGGGCGACUGCCCGUCCCAAGGGCUUGUCACAGGCCCUGUGGACUUAAAAAAGAGAAAUAAGACGCCGUCCCUGCCCUCGGGAGCUCCCGGCGCAUCUGCCCCAACAACUCACUGAAGCCGCCUGCAGGACGCCUGGGUGAGGACAAGGUGUCUCACUCAGAAAAUUUGCUUGAUUCUUCCUGGCAAGUAGGACAGGGCGAGCUUCCCGGAGGAGGGGACCUUCGAGCUGUGUAGCGGGGAAGGUAGGAGGCGAUGAGAGCGCCCGGGAAGGGACAAGCAUUCGGGGAGACUGUAGCGCAUGCAACAACAUAUUUAUUGAGCACCUACUACGUGCCAGGCACUGUUACAUCGGUGAUGUAACAAAAGCCGACAAAAACCCUCACCCCGAGCGCAGGCACCGCAGAGGGCGAUGACGACAGUACCCGAGAAGACGCCGAACGCAGGCCAGGAGGGGGCUCUGGGGAAAAGCAAAGGCAGGGG